ACGUUUACUGCUGAACAGAAUCCGGCUUUUUCCUUCAUGUGGACAAAACUGGACAACACGUCUCUUUACUUAAGACCUCAGCUGGAUCUAUGUCUGGGGUCGCAGGUCGGCAGCCAGGGAGACCCAGGUUUCCCCCAGCCUCCUGGUCCGGCUCCUCCAGGAAUCCCAAGGCGUUCCCAGCAGGGGAACAUCGUCCUGGUCUUCCUCUGGGUUUCCUCCCAGGUGGCCUGAAUGCCUCGCCUGGCUCCUCAGUGAGGAGGAGCAGCAGCUCUACUCCGAGUUUCUGUCUCCAAGGGAGCCCAGACUCCCUGCAGCUGUGAUCCGCUCCAGUGACACAGGAGCGGAUCACAACAGAACCAACAGAACCACAUACUGGAUCCCAACAGCACCAAAAUGAUCCUACAAGGUCUUCCCACAACUUCUAAACGAUUCCAACAGUGUCACCAGAUGUGCUGUGUGACCCGGUGAAGGUGCAGCCGCUUCCAGACCUGCAGGACUUAAACCAGGACUUGGUGAAUCUGAAGCUCUCAGCUCCAGGCGUUCUGGUUUGGACUUGUUAGGGUCACCUGUCAUCAUUUUCCAGUCUCUUCUGAAAUAAAAUCACUUAAACAUUCAUUACUUCUGAAGCUCAUUGAUUCUCAGGCAUUACCUACAUCUGCUGAGUCAGGAGAAUGACUUCCUGUUUUUAAUAUGCUAAGUUUCUGAUAUGGGUGCUGGUUCUGUAGCUUUUUUUAACUCCUCAUCUAGCACUGGGCUCCUAAACUCCAGAACUCGGGGCCCGGCAUCCUGCGACUUGUAGAUGUGUCCCUGCUCCAACACACCGACUCUAAAGCUGAAUCACUUCCUCGGUGCAGUCGGUUCUCCAUGGUAACGGCCUCAUUACUCGACUCAGGUGUGUUGAAGCAGAAACCCGUCUACAGCUGCAGGACUCCAGCCGUCCAGGCCUGGAUUUGAGGAUCAUUGGUUCGUAGUUUACUUUUGUGAAGUCAUCAGCUGCAACAAGCUUGAACUGCACAAAGAUAAUCUCUGUCCUAAUCAAAGUCACUGACGUAGUUUGGAUAGAGCAGUGGGCUGAUAGAGAAGGCUGGUUCUGUUCUGGAGAUAAUGGUGAGAAGAAUGAUUCUUCAUAAACUGAAGACGGUUACAGACAACCCUGAGCCCUCAUAAGACUGAGUAAACAGAGUGUCUUCAGUCAGAGGCUUCUUCAGAUUCGCUGUAAUACAGACUGCACCAGAGAUCUUUCCUGCCAACAGUCAUCACCAUCUACAAUAACUCUUUGAAGAGUCUGAAUUAAUGAGCUCCAGCAGAAGGAGCUCGUAAGUGUGGAUCUCGUCCUGUGCAUUUGUGGAUCUUUUGCAUUUGUGAAUUAUGAGACAGUUUUAGCUCCAUACAGCUGAGCCAACCGCCAAUAAAAAUCAAGAAGAGCAGAGCGUGCUGUGGAGCUGACCUGAUGCGCUAUAUGUGAAUCAACAUGUUUUGUUUGAACUGGGCUAAUCGUUGCCAUCAUAAACCUUUGGUUCACGGUAAAAUAAAACUAAGCUUUUCUUAACAAACACAAGAUGAGAGCACAAUGAGCAGCUACAGAAUUAGUCAGAGUGAGAGAAAUAGUAACUGGAUGGUUAAAAUAAACUCAUUGUAAAUAAAUAUGUUUUGGAAUUAACUGGUAAUCAUGGGGUUGUAUUUUCAAAGAUAGAUAUGAGUUUGGGCGUAUUGAAGUUUCUCACAAUACAUGGAGUCACUCAAUGACAGGAAAACUGAAUUAAGAAGAACAUGGACUGAAAGUGCUGAGGAUGGAGAGAUAGUUUCUUCUGUUCGUUUAGCUCUUUUUUUUGCUAAAUAUGGCAUUUUUAACAUUUCAUCAGCUGAUGAAAAAGGUUAAUAUUUAUACUAAGAUUUUACUAGGAUGAAUCCAGCUCCUCAUCUCAAAAUAACCAAUUUCUAAAAGAAAACAAAUCUAAUUUUGUUUAUUAAAUUGUACAUUUUCAGUAUGUUAUAAACAUUCUAAUGUUUUGAGGAGAUUGUGAUGAUAUUAUGUCUCUGAGAAUAGUGGCAGACUGAUAAAAGAUGAGACGGGAGGAAGAUAGUCUGAUAAACUGAAAGAAUGAAGAAAACUGACAAAGCUGAAGAGAAGAAAUGUAAACAUAUUAUUAUUUAAUUGUGUCUUAUAUGUUGUAUUUUAAGUGUUUCUCAGUUUUUCACAGAAUCUUUUCUGCUCUUGUUCUAUCCAGACCUCUAUGAUCAUGUGGCUGAUGGAUCUUCAGACCGAGGAGGGUUUGCAGAUCCAAAGAUCAGCUUCCUGACCAGAGUUCACUCAUCUCAAACACACACAAUGUCCUUGCAUAUCAGCUACAUAACUUUAUAUACAGACCUCAUGUAUUUAUGGACACUUAUGUGUCCAUUCAUGCACAACAUUCAAUUGUGGCCAAAGUUGUUGGUACCUUUAGUUAAUGAGUAAAAAAACCACAAUGGUCACUGAAACAACCUGAAACUGACUAAAGUAAUAAAUCAAAAUUUACUGAAAAUUAACCAAUAAAAAUCAGACACUGUUUUUAAUUAAGGUUCAACAGAAUAAUAAAAUGACACACCAAGAUGACUACAGUUGCACAGAUUAUUCUGAAACUUAAGGUCCACAGGACUGGAGCCAAUCUGCCUGGCUGCGUCCGCACGAAGAAAAUGGACAAAUUCAAGAUGGUCACUAAAAGUCCAGAACAACCAAGUCCAGAAAGUAAAGGUGAACUCCAAGGUCAAGACGGACUUCAUGUGAGACCAAGGAGGAAAGAAAAUCAU